AAUGCGGGCCAACAUCCAAAUGUACACCAUCUUCCCCGUUCAGUAGGUGGGACAGGUGAGGGCUCCCAGCAGCAAAUGCAUGGCAUGGUGCCAGGCAUUUUUAGGCCAUGGGAUUAGGUAAUCCUGACCCUAGUAGUAGGACCGUCGGGGCGACGAUCCGUCAGUGGGGGGUAGAUUGUAGUGGGACGAACUGUGGGUGUCCCUUUAAAUUGUCAUGAAAGCAUCAGUUGUCCAAUCAGAUACAUGCAAGACUAUAUAAAAGGGGACUUUUAAUGCACCAUGUUGUGUGAUCACCGCUUGUGUGUCAUUGCCCGAGGCCCGCCCCUUCCUGGUUUAGACUCUUCCUGUCUCACAGUUUCCAACGUGUAAUCAUUCCAUGUGGCUCGGCGACUGCUUUUAAACAUGAACCCGCCGUAAUCCCGUGCCUUCUUGCCGGUUUGAUGUCCAUUUGCCUGUGCGGCUGGACUUGUGGUCGAAACGACAAUAUUAAGGAACCGAGGCUUCAGGCAGACGGCUAGUUGGCCUUGGCGUGCGGUGGUGGGACUCUAUCACAGGGUGCAGUGUGUUCACGCUUGAUCUUACCGUGUGUGUGUGGUGCUCUUGUGCAUUUGGUGUUAUCCUGGCGAUAUAGUAGCCGCAUACUCAUUAAGCUAGUUUCCUGCUUUAGGUAAGCCUCGGUGUCCUUUUUGUUUUUAUGCCUAUUUUAUUCCAGCCCAUAGUCAUGUUUUAACAGUAAUACCCAUAUUUAUUGUGAAAUAAAACAUUUUUUUGUAUCUUUGGUA